AACGAACGUUGGCGGCGUGGAUGAGGCAUGCAAGUCGAACGCGAAAGCCGCAAGGCGAGUAAAGUGGCGGACGGGCGAGUAACACGUAAUCAAGCUACCUGCGAGACGGGGAUAACUUCGGGAAACCGAAGCUAAGACCCGAUGGUCUUCUAGGAACGCAUGUUCCAUGAAGUAAAUGGGCGGGAUCCUCCGGGAUCGCCUGCUCGCAGAGGUGAUUGCGGCCCAUCAGCCAGUUGGUAGGGUAAUGGCCUACCAAGGCAACGACGGGUAGCCGGCCUUAGAGGGUGGUCGGCCGCACUGGGACUGAGACACUGCCCAGACUCCUACGGGAGGCUGCAGUCGAGAAUCUUCCGCAAUGGGCGAAAGCCUGACGGAGCGACGCCGCGUGGAGGAUGAAGGCC
rnacentral:rRNA from 1 species